UGUCUAAGUACAUGCCGAAUUAAGGCGAAACCGCGAAUGGCUCAUUAAAUCAGUUACGGUUCCUUAGAUGUUGACUGUCUACAUGGAUAACUGUGGUAAUUCUAGAGCUAAUACAUGCACAAAAGCUUUGACCUUCAGGAAAAAGCGCAUUUAUUAGACCAAGACCAAUGGGGUACCUUACGGUGUCCUAACGGUGGUGACUCUGAAUAACUGUUGCUAAUCGCAUGGCCUAAGUGCCGGCGAUGAAUCUUUCAAGUGUCUGCCUUAUCAACUGUCGAUGGUAGGUUAUGCGCCUACCAUGGUUGUAACGGGUAACGGGGAAUCAGGGUUCGAUUCCGGAGAGGGAGCCUGAGAAACGGCUACCACAUCCAAGGAAGGCAGCAGGCACGCAAAUUACCCAAUCCCAGAACGGGGAGGUAGUGACGAAAAAUAACAAUACGAGACUCUUUUGAGGCCUCGUAAUUGGAAUGAGAACGAUUUAAAGCCUUUAACGAGGAUCUAUUGGAGGGCAAGUCUGGUGCCAGCAGCCGCGGUAAUUCCAGCUCCAAUAGCGUAUAUUAAAGUUGUUGCGGUUAAAAAGCUCGUAGUUGGAUCUCAGUUCAAGCUAUUCGGUCCACUUGCCAGUGGUUACUGUUUGGCUGAACACUUUAUCGAGUUGUCUCUUGGUGCUCUUUACCGAGUGUCAUGAGCGAUCGGUACGUUUACUUUGAAAAAAUUAGAGUGCUUAAAGCAGGCGUAACGCCCGUAUAAUGUUGCAUGGAAUAAUGGAAUAGGACCUCGGUUCUAUUUUGUUGGUCUUCGGAAUCUGAGGUAAUGAUUAAGAGGGACAGACGGGGGCAUUCGUAUUGCGGCGCUAGAGGUGAAAUUCUUGGACCGUCGCAAGACGAACUAAAGCGAAAGCAUUUGCCAAGAAUGUUUUCAUUAAUCAAGAACGAAAGUUAGAGGUUCGAAGGCGAUCAGAUACCGCCCUAGUUCUAACCAUAAACGAUGCCAACCAGCAAUCCGUCUGAGUUCCUUAAAUGACUCGACGGGCGGCUUCCGGGAAACCAAAGUUUUUCGGUUCCGGGGGAAGUAUGGUUGCAAAGCUGAAACUUAAAGGAAUUGACGGAAGGGCACCACCAGGAGUGGAGCCUGCGGCUUAAUUUGACUCAACACGGGAAAACUCACCCGGCCCGGACACUGGAAGGAUUGACAGAUUGAGAGCUCUUUCUUGAUUCAGUGGGUGGUGGUGCAUGGCCGUUCUUAGUUGGUGGAGCGAUUUGUCUGGUUAAUUCCGAUAACGAACGAGACUCUAGCCUACUAAAUAGAUCGCCGGUUUACAAACAUCGGUGAGACUUCUUAGAGGGACAGGCGGCGAUUCAGCCGACGAAACAGAGCAAUAACAGGUCUGUGAUGCCCUUAGAUGUCCGGGGCCGCACGCGCGCUACACUGAAGUGAUCAGCGUGCUUUUUAAGCCUACUCUGCCAAGAGUGGGAAACCCAAUGAACCUUCUUCGUGAUUGGGAUAGGAGAUUGUAAUUAUUCUCCUUGAACGAGGAAUUCCCAGUAAGCGCGAGUCAUAAGCUCGCGUUGAUUACGUCCCUGCCCUUUGUACACACCGCCCGUCGCUACUACCGAUUGAAUGUUUUAGUGAGGUCUUCAGACUGGCCGGCGCAUCUUGUGGUUGCCGCGCUGUGUUUGGAAAGAUGCCCAAACUUGAACAUUUAGAGGAAGUAAAAGUCGUAACAAGGUUUCCGU
rnacentral:rRNA from 1 species